UACGAAGGGGGCUAGCGUUGCUCGGAAUUACUGGGCGUAAAGCGCACGUAGGCGGUCUUUUAAGUCGGGGGUGAAAUCCUGGAGCUCAACUCCAGAACUGCCUUCGAUACUGGCGAUCUUUGAGUCCGGAAGAGGUGAGUGGAACUCCUAGUGUAGAGGUGGAAUUCGUAGAUAUUAGGAAGAACACCAGUGGCGAAGGCGGCGACCUGGUCCUUUACUGACGCUGAGGCGCGAAAGCGUGGGGAGCAAACAGG
rnacentral:rRNA from 1 species